rnacentral:rRNA from 1 species
GAGUUUGAUCCUGGCUCAGGACAAACGCUGGCGGCGUGCUUAACACAUGCAAGUCGAACGGGGACUAUUGGGGGGGCAACCCUCCGAUAGUUCUAGUGGCGAACGGGUGAGUAACACGUGAGAAAUCUACCCCUUAGACUGGGACAACCCGCCGAAAGGUGGGCUAAUACCGGAUGUGGUGCCCGGGUGCGAUCCCCGGGCAUUAAAGGAUGGCUGAGGCUUGCAAGCUAUCGCUAAGGGAUGAGCUCGCGCCUGAUUAGCUAGUUGGUGGGGUAAAGGCCCACCAAGGCGACAAUCAGUAGCCGGCCUGAGAGGGCGUACGGCCACACUGGAACUGAGACACGGUCCAGACUCCUACGGGAGGCAGCAGUGGGGAAUUUUCCACAAUGGGCGAAAGCCUGAUGGAGCAACGCCGCGUGAGUGAUGAAGGCCUUCGGGUUGUAAAACUCUGUCGUGCAAGAACAAAGUCACCGGGUGAACAAUCCGGUGAUCUGAUUGUAUUGCAGGAGGAAGACACGGCUAACUCUGUGCCAGCAGCCGCGGUAAUACAGAGGCGUCAAGCGUUGUCCGGAAUUACUGGGCGUAAAGGGCGUGUAGGCGGGCUUGUAAGUCGGAUGUGAAAUCACUGGGCUUAACCCAGUAACUGCAUCCGAAACUGCUUGUCUUGAGUGCAGAAGAGGAAAGCGGAAUUCCCGGUGUAGCGGUGAAAUGCGUAGAUAUCGGGAGGAACACCAGUGGCGAAGGCGGCUUUCUGGUCUGCAACUGACGCUGAAACGCGAAAGCUAGGGAGCAAACGGGAUUAGAUACCCCGGUAGUCCUAGCCGUAAACGAUGAGCACUAG